rnacentral:lncRNA from 1 species
CUGUCAAAUAACCCAUCAUAUCUAUUACAGGAAAAUGCAAUGGAAGAAUUUAUUUUCUGCUGCUAAAUUUCACUCUUGCACUUCUGGGAGGGAUUAACAUUUUUUAUGCUGGAUUAAGGUGUUCCAUACCUUAGAGAAGAAAUGCAAGGGCCACAUUUUUGGGAAAUGCACUCCCCUGUGCCAGUUCACUUGUAGUUAAAGUGCAAAUGGGCAUUUUGGUGACUUAAACCCACCAGAAAACUCAGCAGGAAUGUGGGAUUGCAAGGAGAGUUUUACAGCAAGGACAUAAAAGAGGAUGCUCUUGUCUCACUCGUCUUCCUCUGUGAGCAGGCUGGCCCUGCUCCUGCUUCCAGCUGGCCUCCAACUUCCUUAGGAAUGGCUGAGGUUGGAAUCUCUGCAUGUCCAAAACUGAACUGGAUGGCUGUGCAAAAUUGCUGUACGUCCUCUUGUUUCAGGCUGGCCUUUCCUGGGGACUUCUCAGUGCUUCAAAAGGUGAGAGAAGAUCUGAGUGGAAACAACUUCAAGGGGUUGAAAUGCUUUUCUGGGACAUUGAAGAAAGGAAGAGAAUGGUUCUGCCAACAACGUGGACCCUUGCAAAGCUGCUCCUGAGAGCAUGGAUUGCACUGAUGAACCUGACUUGGAGCCAGGCAGCUCUGUCUGAUCACAGGAGAGUGGAGCUCACUGUGGCACGGGAAACUAGGCUGUGCAUCAGACACUCCUUGUUCCCAGAACGGAGCAGUGGCCCCUCUUUCCAAUAGAAAAGCCGCCCUUUUCUCCUUUAACCUCUCUGUCAUGAAGAUUAAAACCAGUUUUGAUGGACCAAAUCUGUUGGGAGGC